rnacentral:tmRNA from 1 species
GGGGAUGCAAGGCAUAGACAGUAGGCCUGCUCUCACUGAUGCAUACUGAGCAUGGACGUAAUCUCAUAAAAAUUCGUCUAAACUCUAAUUGCAAAAUUAGGAUCAAAGCAAUCUCCAUACUUUAGUAUGGCAGACUUUGCUCCAGCAUACGCGUAAGCGUUCCUGGCGUCUUUACCAUAGACUUCCGAUAUAUGGCUAAAGGUGUAAUAUUAUCGGGAUAAGAAAAAAUACUGCUUGAUAUUUUUUACUAAAACCAAAAGCUCGAUUGAAAAAUAUUUUGUUCGUUUCUUAAUUUUUCAAUUUAAAAUAAAAAACGAAAUAAGUAUGUAGAUUUCCUUGGAGUAACCUUCUGCACGGGGAUUCGAUUUCCCCCAUCUCCACUA